GAUUGCACAAGCUAUGGAACCGUAUCACACCAUAAUCAACAUUAUGUUGAGCAUAGUAAGGUCCAUUCUGCAAAAAAAGUAUAUUAAUUGUCAUUAGAAUGAAGCUAGAUUUCAGCAUUACAAUAUAUAAUGUAACAUAUCAUAUAACUACAUUUUUAACAUACAAACUACAUUUUUCCUACAUUCUCAGUAGAAGUUAUUUUCCAAAAGUAUAACAUAAAUUUUAACCUACAAACAACAGUAUAACUACAAGGAACUAUACUGUAACUAUAA
rnacentral:lncRNA from 1 species